AUCGCUUCUUGGCCUUUUGGCUAAGAUCAAGUGUAGUAUAUUUGGGUAAACGCUUACGAGUGAGAUUGCUGGUUAAUUUAUUAAGGAUAUGGUUAAUCUUAUGUGAAAUUGUUAAUCUGGUUUUCAAUGUUGCUACACAGUUUUGCAUGUCUGUCCGCAAUGAGGAAGAACUUUU
ensembl:snRNA U2 U2 spliceosomal RNA